rnacentral:misc_RNA from 1 species
GAAAUGCGAUAAGUAAUGUGAAUUGCAGAAUUCAGUGAAUCAUCGAAUCUUUGAACGCACAUUGCGCCCGCCAGUAUUCUGGCGGGCAUGCCUGUCCGAGCGUCAUUUCAACCAUCAAGCCCCCGGGCUUGUGUUGGGGACCUGCGGCUGCCCGCAGGCCCUGAAAACCAGUGGCGGGCUCGCUGUCACACCGAGCGUAGUAGCAAUCACCCCGCUCAGGGCGUGCUGCGGGUUCCGGCCGUUAAACAGCCUUACAAAACCCAAGGUUGACCUCGGAUCAGGUAGGAAGACCCGCUGAACUUAAGC